GAAUUCAAUGCCCAGGUUUCAGUUGGUAUAAAAGUGGAGAUCCGAAAAUGAACCCGGCAGUCUUCGGUUCACUUUCGUCCAGGUAGAUCUCUUCCUCUUUCUGCAUCUACGCCUCACUUCACAAACAUGGCGAGGCACACGCUGUUUCUUGUAUUGGUGUUAGUGAUUGUAACAAUGGCCGCUGCCAUGCCCCGAGUCUUCGAAAGGGUUAAGCGAUCUCCGGAUCCGAGUCAUUGGAAUAAAAAUCGCUAUGGUAACAGAGGCUACUACGCAGUCCCUAGUUAUGGUGGCUAUGGCUACAACCCUCAAUCAUAUUGGGGGGGUGGUGGAUUUUCCUCGGCUUCGGCGUAUUCGAUUAAUGGCUUUUCUGGUGCGAGUGCGAAUGCAGCGUCAUUUGGUAGAUAAGGACGCCUCUGAAAAGCCCCAGUUGAUCGAAUGGUGUCGGUUUUGCCGUGGAUGAUUGCGACGGUGUUACACAAACUGAUAUAUAAUGACAAGUGUAUAAUAAUUAUCGUACGAUAAGUGAAAAAAAAAAAAAAUAAAACAUUGUAAUUUUGUCACUAUAAA